GACGAACGCUGGCGGCGUGCUUAACACAUGCAAGUCGAACGGAAAGGCCCUGCUUUUGUGGGGUGCUCGAGUGGCGAACGGGUGAGUAACACGUGAGUAACCUGCCCUUGACUUUGGGAUAACUUCAGGAAACUGGGGCUAAUACCGGAUAGGAGCCCCUGCUGCAUGGUGGGGGUUGGAAAGUUUCGGCGGUUGGGGAUGGACUCGCGGCUUAUCAGCUUGUUGGUGGGGUAGUGGCUUACCAAGGCUUUGACGGGUAGCCGGCCUGAGAGGGUGACCGGCCACAUUGGGACUGAGAGACGGCCCAGACUCCUACGGGAGGAAGCAGUGGGGAAUAUUGCACAAUGGGAGGAAGCCUGAUGAAGCAACGCCGCGUGCGGGAUGACGGCCUUCGGGUUGUAAAAAGCUUUCGCCUGUGAAGAAGAGUGAGUGACGGUAAUGGGUAAAGAAGAACCGGCUAACUACGUG
rnacentral:rRNA from 1 species